rnacentral:lncRNA from 1 species
AUGGGUAAAUUAUCCCCUCUCCCCAGCUGAAGUGCAAGCUACUCGAGCUUUCUUAUUGCUAACACUUCUUCCCUCAUGUCCUACAUCCCUUACCUUUGGACUCAGGCCCUUUAGUACUAGUUCAAAAUAUACUUCUGAUUCAUUUCACUGAUAAUAGAAGCAAGCAGGCUCAGCUUUUGAGCAUUACCUACAGUGGGGACAAAAAUGUAAG